GCUUAGUGCAGUUUUUUUUCAAUAGUUAACUCAUUCCCACUUUCUCCAUUUCAUUCUAGGAAAUUAAUAAAUUUUGCGCUUUGCCAUUGUUGAAAUUUCCAAACACGCAGAAAGAGCAAAUACAGUUCAGGUAACAAUCUCUUUCCCAAGUUCAAAUUUCAGUCGUAUCAUGUAUGUGUGAUUAUUGCUCUGUUUCAGCUUCUCCUUGGGUUCUAUCAUUAUUACCCUUAUUUAGAAGAGACAGUUAGAGAGGA